UGGAAGUUGCAGCAAGUAUGUGCUAUCUUGUAAGAGUAGAAUUGUCGUCGAAGAAACAACGAUUUCUCGACGUAAUUUCCACCAAAAACUUGAGAGAAUUGAGGAGGGAAUUGAUAGCAAAAUCACAGUUUAUAUGACAGCAAGAAUAUCUAAUUUAAUCAAGAAAAUUUUGGCAGUAUAACAGCAAGGAAAUUGGUGCAAGUUGCGAUUGUAGAAUUCUCGUCGAGAAAUUUCA
rnacentral:lncRNA from 1 species